CAGUAGGGAAUCUUCCACAAUGGGCGAAAGCCUGAUGGAGCAACGCCGCGUGUGUGAUGAAGGGUUUCGGCUCGUAAAACACUGUUGUAAGAGAAGAAUGACAUUGAGAGUAACUGUUCAAUGUGUGACGGUAUCUUACCAGAAAGGAACGGCUAAAUACGUACCAG
rnacentral:rRNA from 1 species